rnacentral:rRNA from 1 species
UACGGAGGGUGCAAGCAUUAAUCGGAUUUAUUGGGCGUAAAGGGCGCGUAGGCGGGGAUGUAAGUCAGACGUGAAAUCCCGGGGCUCAACCUCGGAACAGCAUUUGAAACUAUAUCUCUUGAGGGUAGGCGGAGAAAACGGAAUUCCACAAGUAGCGGUGAAAUGCGUAGAUAUGUGGAAGAACACCGGUGGCGAAGGCGGUUUUCUAGCUUAUUCCUGACGCUAAAGCGCGAAAGCAAGGGGAUCAAAC